UGGGGACAUCUGGCAGCUAAGGAGGAUUACUACAGGCUGUUACAUCAGGCUGAUGUGGUGGUUUCCACUGCAGACCAUGAGUUUUAUGGGGUCUCCAUGUUGGAGGCAGUUUACUGUGGAUGUUACCCUCUCUGUCCUAACAGACUGGUCUAUCCUGAAAUCUUCCCCAAGGAGUGCCUGUAUAACACACCACAACAGCUGAAGAAAAGGUUGAGGGAUUUCUGCAGAAGACCACAGCUAGCAAGGAA